CAAAGUGUCUCGGGUGGGGCUGGGAAAUGCUUGAGGAUGUGAAAAUGCUCCAAUUUCUCCGAGUUUACCAAAGUUUCAAGGUUUCUUCACGAUCAAUGUGUUCAAGAAAAGCCCACGCUGGGGCAAGCCAGUGACCCUGUCCGGUUGCAACUACGGUUUCUCAACUUCUACCUGGAACAACAAUGGCACACACCUGUGGGAAAAGAACUUUCAAAGGAGGAAGUACUUGCUUGUCAGAAAGUAAUUGGACGUUGCCUAUCACAGAGGCUGAUGGACAUUGCCCGUGACCACCUCGCUCGGAAUGCCUGGCUACAGAUAUGAUGGCGAAUAAUAGGAAACACAAGUGUCGCUCUUGUAGCGUCCCAACUCCUGGC